rnacentral:lncRNA from 1 species
CAUCGAUGUCGGCCUUGGGCAGGCUCACAUCCACAUCUGGACCUUCUCCUUUGAAGCCAGGCAUGCUGAAUUUGGGCAUUUUCACCUUGGGCAUCUUCAGGUGCCAGUCUGGGCCAUGAACAUCCACAUCAGGGGUGUUGAUGUCCACUUUUGGGCCCUUGAUGUCAGCUUCUGGGCCCUUGAGGUCGCCUUCCACUUUGGGCAGAGAAAUGUCCAUGUCGCCCUUCACCUUUGGACCUUUCAGAUUCAGGUCAACUUCAGGCAUAGAGAUCUUCGGUGCCUUGAGGUGCAGGUCAGGCAUUUUAAAUUUGGGGCCCUUCAGUUUCCCUUCUGGACCAUGAAUAUCAAUAUCAGGAGUGUCAAUGUCCACUUUGGGUCCUGAGACAUCAAUGUCAGCUUUGGGCAAAUUAACAUCCACUUCUGGGCCCUCUCCUUUAAAUCCUGGCAUGCUGAAUUUGGGCAUUUUCACCUUGGGCAUCUUCAGGUGCCAGUCUGGGCCAUGAACAUCCACAUCUGGGGCAUCAAUGUCCACUUUGGGCCCUCUGAUGUCAACAUCUGGCACUUUCAUUUCACCUUCUACCUUGGGAACAGACACAUCCAUAUCUGGGGCAUCAAUGUCCAUUUUGGGUCCUUUGAUGUCAACAUCUGGCACUUUCAUUUCACCUUCUACCUUGGGCACAGACACAUCCAUAUCCCCUUUGACUUUGGGGCCUUUCAGGUGUAAGUCCACAUCAGGCAUGGAGAUCUUGGGGGCCUUGAAGUGCAUCUCAGGCAUCUUAAACUUGGGCCCUUUCAACUUUGCAUCAGGACACUCC